rnacentral:rRNA from 1 species
GACAGAGGGUGCAAGCGUUGUUCGGAAUUAUUGGGCGUAAAGGGCGCGUAGGCGGCCUCGCAAGUCAGGUGUGAAAUCCCAGGGCUUAACCCUGGAACUGCAUCUGAUACUGCUUGGCUUGAAUCUCGGAGAGGGUGGUGGAAUUCCUGGUGUAGAGGUGAAAUUCGUAGAUAUCAGGAGGAACACCGGUGGCGAAGGCGACCACCUGGACGAUGAUUGACGCUGAGGCGCGAAAGCGUGGGAAGCAAACAGGAUUAGAUACCCUGGUAGUCCACGCCGUAAACGAUGGAUACUAGGUGCUGCGGGUAUUGACCCCUGCGGUGCCGUCGCUAACGCAUUAAGUAUCCCGCCUGGGAAGUACGGCCGCAAGGCUAAA